UACGUAGGAGGCGAGCGUUGUCCGGAUUUACUGGGCGUAAAGCGCGUGUAGGCGGCUCGAUUAGCCUGCUGUGAAAGCUCUCGGCUUAACCGGGAGAGGUCGGUGGAUACUGUCGGGCUUGAGGACGGUAGAGGGGGGUGGAAUUCCCGGCGUAGUGGUGAAAUGCGUAGAGAUCGGGAGGAACACCAGUGGCGAAGGCGGCCCCCUGGGCCGCUCCUGACGCUGAGACGCGAAGGCCAGGGUAGCGAACGGG
rnacentral:rRNA from 1 species